UCCUGCCCUUUGUACACACCGCCCGUCGCUGCCCGGGACUGAGUUAUUUCGAGAAAUCUACGGACCGACGUCUAGGCAUUCGCGUGCCUCCUCGCUGGAAAGUAGCUUAAUCGCGAUGGCUUGAACCGGGCAAAAGUCGUAACAAGGUACCUGUAGGUGAACCUGCAGGUGGAUCACUA
rnacentral:rRNA from 1 species